CCGCCUCGGGGAGCCGUAAGCAGGCUUUGAUCCGGGGAUUUCCGAAUGGGGAAACCCAGCUGGGGUAAUGCCCAGUUACUCUCGACUGAAUACAUAGGUUGAGGUGAGGCAUACCGGGGGAACUGAAACAUCUAAGUACCCCGAGGAAGAGAAAACAAAAGUGAUUCCG
rnacentral:rRNA from 1 species